CUGGACUUUUAACUGGUUUUUUAAUUUGCUUGGUGGCUUAUCUUUGCACUUGCUUUGUUUUUUAGCGUCUGGGUCCUUUUGGGAUUCGGGAUCCAAAGAGUCUUUGAUUUGAGAUCUGUGACUUUCUUGUUUACCUUGUUAUUAUCUUCUCCCCCUUUGGGUUUCGCUAUAUUUUAGAACUAUAGUGAAAAAAACUGCAUUUGUGUGUGAAUUGAUUGAUUCUCUCUUGUUCUUUAUUUUUCACAAGAAAAUUUUAGCUAUUUUCUGUGGAAAAAGGAUUGGCAUUUUAAGGUGGAGUUUGGUGCCUCUACUUUACUGAUAUAUUUGUUAAUUUCUCGUUGCUGUCUCCUGAUCGCUUUUUUGGAGGUGAUAUUUGAUCUGGGCUGCAUGCAAUCCUACGCUUGUUAGCUAAUUUUCCAUUGUAGUUUCUGAUUAACUAAAUACUGAACUUUUUGCUUAUUUAUAUUGGGGAGGGUUUGUUUGGAGCUGGUAACAGACGUUUGUACCAUGUAGUAUGUUAAUUUUAUUUAAUCUAGGGUCUUGUAUAUGGAUCAUCUAAAUGUAAUGACAAGCAUGAUUUGUUUCUCCUUUUGCUGCUAUGCUGUCUGUUGAUAUCAGGCUCUAUGAAUUUUGCAUUCCAAUAUACCCUCGAUUCUUUAUUUCUUUCUGGGAAAAAAAAUACUAUCUAUUAAAUCCAGUGUGCAGAAAUUGAUUGUUAUGAUUAUUUUUAACUGUAAUCUUGUAGGAAAACUACAACUCUACUGUCUACGAAUUUGAAGAUGAAAACAAGCAGGACUGCUGGUGGAUUUAACAUGCUUGGCGUUGACUAAUGGGUUUUCCCAAUUUGAUCUAUUUAAAAAAUCUGCUUUCUUUAGAUGGCCUCAAAACCCAGUGCUGGGACUUCCCCAGAAAAGCAGAGAAAAGCCAUUGGUAAUCAGACACCAGAAGGAAAGUUCCGCAGGCCCUCACCUUUACAGAUUACAAAGACAAGCAAAUCAGAGCCAGUCACCCCCAGAAAACCACCUCAAAGUGCACAAGUUGCAUCUAAACACGUUUCUGUAGUGACAACUGAGGACAACAAAUCACUGAUUUCUCAAAAAUCAGACAAUGUAAAUUCUUUAGUCGAUAAGGUAUCUUCUAGUUUGGCCUUUGUUGAUCCAAAACAAGGGCUAACUUGUGCGGAUCCUGAAGGGAGUGAUGCUAGGGACUCACCAGAAAGUACUACUGAUAAAAAAAGUAAAAAUUUACAGAAUGAAAUUGGCGCUAGUUCUGCUGAGGUUAGUGAUGGGACCAGCAGCAUCGCAAAGACUAGUGGAAGUGCCAAAAUCAGCGAAAAAGCUGAUUUUGUUGAGAGUGGGAAAAGCAGUGCGAACAGAGGGAGCACAAGCAGUGAUGUCAGUGAUGAGAGUACUUGUAGCAGUUUAAGUAGCAGUGUCAACAAACCUCACAAAGCCAAUGAUAUGCGUUGGGAAGCUAUACAGGCUGUACGUGCAAAAGAUGGUGUAUUGGGUGUGAACCAUUUCAGAUUGCUGAAGAGGUUGGGCUGUGGGGAUAUUGGAAGUGUGUAUCUUUCUGAAUUGAGUGGAACAAAGUGUUACUUUGCAAUGAAGGUUAUGGACAAAGCAUCUUUAGCAAGUCGUAAGAAACUUCUACGAGCUCAAACAGAGAGAGAAAUACUGCAGUGUUUGGACCAUCCCUUUCUUCCAACUUUAUAUACCCAUUUUGAGACUGACAAAUUCUCAUGUUUGGUUAUGGAGUUUUGCCCCGGUGGUGACUUGCACACUCUUCGACAAAGGCAGCCAGGAAAGCAUUUUUCUGAGCGGGCGGUAAAGUAUGAAACUUAUCCUUAUAUUAUCUCUAUAUAAUUUUGAGAGGUUUUGAAUCUUCAAGUCCCUGCAUUAUUUUGGUGCAAUUUCUCAUGUCAUCCUGCAUGGUAUUGCUAGGUUCAUUGCUACAUCCUUGUCAUGAGGAGGUGCUUUGCGUUUAUUGCAGAAUCAUGACUUUGAUUUUCUUGUAAGCACUUAAGAUUUACCAUAUUAGGCUCAGAUAGUUCUCAAUAAUAUAGGAACUGCUUUAGCUAUUUGGGUAAUUGGCUGGAAUGUGGAAAUAUUCUGAAUAUCCUGAAAGAUGAUGUUGGUACCCGAGUUGGUCUGGGGUUAUAAACAAGAAGAGCAAUAUGAAAUGUAAUGGGAUUUUUAGGGUGAGGUUUACGCAUUUGUUGUGUGUUUGUAAGAACAUAGAACAAAUACAUAGAGGGAAACAUCUAUUAUUUUGCAGAACCAGUUGAGAAGCUAUAUUACACAUUAUCGUGUGUCAUAUGACUAAUUUAGCUAAAAAGAGUUAUUAAGAGAUAAAUAUAAAUGGUUCUAAGGAGUUGUUUUAUGACUACUUAGUGCACUGAGUUGGCUUAGUCAUAUUCAAACGUUGUCUCUUAAUGAACUCGUGCAUCUCUCAAGAAAUGAGGCCUAUCGAAAAAACAGUGGUUCAGAAUAAUAUGUGCCAUUUUUCAGUCUUUGAAACUAAUGGUUUCUAUGUAAAUGAGAAAGUCCACUCCAUAUUCUUAUGUGAUGAAAGUCCACUCCAUAUUCAUAUAUGAUGCCCAUUCUCAUCUCAAAUGAGUCUACUGCUAUUGCUUUUUCUUAGCAUUAGCUUCUAUGCAACCAAUGAUAUGUUUGUUUGCUUUGAACCAAUCUGCUGUAUCCUGAACAAAGAUGAAAAAAAGAGAGGGUCAACAGGAAGAAUCAAUCUGCUAGAUAUGUUGAAUUUAUACAUGGACUAUUAAGUGAACAUAUAUUUCCCAGUUACUAGCAAGGAAUGUCAUAUGUAGAGAUAACCCGAACAACCUUUUCCCCAUCACCUGCCUAAGGUCACCAAUAUCUGAACUGCUAAUGGGCAAUCAUUUGCAAUUUAGAUUUUAGGUUUGCUUUUGCUCCUUUUCCUUCUAUUUUCAAUGCAUAUGAUAAUUUUCUUAUAAAUGACUUUACUCCUUAUUUCACCUUUAUUUUUUUCAGCAUAAAUUAGAGGGAAAAGUCAUUGGAUUUUUACUGUGAAAGUAAACUUCAGCUUUGCACUUUUAAUUUGCAGGUGAAGGUAUAUAUAUAUGUCAUAUUGUCAUCUUCUUGCAGUUUUUAACUUUAACUUUUAAGAGAACCUGAGGCCAAAUGACAUAUAAGACGAUGAGUGACCUUGAACUUGCUCAGUCAGAUUUAGAACUGUAUUUGUUCUAAUUUUUGUAUAAUAUGCUAUUUUCCUAUCAUAAUUAAACCAACAUAUCAGGAAAUUUUGUCAGCUGUCUGCUGAGAUCAUGUGGCUUGUCAUAACCAUGAAAUUUAGAGAAAGAGAGAAAAGUGACAAAAUUUUAAACCAAAAUACCCCUUUUCUUCUAGUCUUCAUUCUAGUGAUAAAACCAAGGAACUCAGGACAGUAAGAGUUGGACAUGGACAUCUAAUAUGCAUAUCAAUAUUCUCUUUAUGUUUAGAACUAUCAGAUAUAGUGUGAGCCAAAAGUGCACUGUUAUCUUGCUUAUUGUGAAUGGCCUGAAAUUGCAAAGAGGAAUGGAACUCAUUGAGUUCCUCCUUAGCUUUUAGCAUUGGUUCUCCAGUGGGGCUAAUAUGACUGCCUACUGAUAUGUUCAAGUGUAAUGGAAUUAAGAUGAGAUGGGAUGACAUUCAUAGGCUGCACUACUGCCAGUGUAGAAACUGCUGCAGCUAGACAUAGGAACCCAUUCCCGGAUAACUUUGGUCACUUUAAAUGCUCCAAGUGCAUGGGUUCAUGAUCCAUUAUGCUUGGUGUUUUUAGACAAGAAACUUGGGGAAAAUUAUGACCGCACAUAGAACAUAAUGCUGUGAGUGACUAUGUAAUGGAAAGGCAAACUUCAUAUUGAUUUUCACAUUCUUUAAUCAAGUAUCACAUGGGAGAGAAAAAAAAAUAUAAAAAGACUUGCUUCCUUCUGUUCUAUUGAUAAUGAUUGUAACGAUCAUUCAUUGUGUCCUUUAACCUUUAAUCAACCUUUAAUC
rnacentral:misc_RNA from 1 species